rnacentral:rRNA from 1 species
AGAGUUUGAUCAUGGCUCAGAUUGAACGCUGGCGGCAGGCCUAACACAUGCAAGUCGAACGGUAACAGGAAGAAGCUUGCUUCUUUGCUGACGAGUGGCGGACGGGUGAGUAAUGUCUGGGAAACUGCCUGAUGGAGGGGGAUAACUACUGGAAACGGUAGCUAAUACCGCAUAACGUCGCAAGACCAAAGAGGGGGACCUUCGGGCCUCUUGCCAUCGGAUGUGCCCAGAUGGGAUUAGCUUGUUGGUGGGGUAACGGCUCACCAAGGCGACGAUCCCUAGCUGGUCUGAGAGGAUGACCAGCCACACUGGAACUGAGACACGGUCCAGACUCCUACGGGAGGCAGCAGUGGGGAAUAUUGCACAAUGGGCGCAAGCCUGAUGCAGCGACGCCGCGUGCGGGAUGACGGCCUUCGGGUUGUAAACCGCUUUUGACUGGGAGCAAGCCCUUCGGGGUGAGUGUACCUUUCGAAUAAGCACCGGCUAACUACGUGCCAGCAGCCGCGGUAAUACGUAGGGUGCAAGCGUUAUCCGGAAUUAUUGGGCGUAAAGGGCUCGUAGGCGGUUCGUCGCGUCCGGUGUGAAAGUCCAUCGCUUAACGGUGGAUCCGCGCCGGGUACGGGCGGGCUUGAGUGCGGUAGGGGAGACUGGAAUUCCCGGUGUAACGGUGGAAUGUGUAGAUAUCGGGAAGAACACCAAUGGCGAAGGCAGGUCUCUGGGCCGUCACUGACGCUGAGGAGCGAAAGCGUGGGGAGCGAACAGGAUUAGAUACCCUGGUAGUCCACGCCGUAAACGGUGGAUGCUGGAUGUGGGGCCCGUUCCACGGGUUCCGUGUCGGAGCUAACGCGUUAAGCAUCCCGCCUGGGGAGUACGGCCGCAAGGCUAAAACUCAAAGGAAUUGACGGGGGCC